CUGGGGGUCAAAGAAUGAAGGAGGUCAUGGUUCAGAGGAUGAUCUUGCAGGAGAAGUCAAAAUGUCUGUGUCACAUGAUGAGGGAGAUGAAGAUACUGCUAAAGAUUCAGAGAGUUUGAUGACCUUUAAGUAAUUCUUCCAAUGAACAAGGCACACCAUUCUGAAGUGUCACUUUAUGGGAAUUGUUCUCUCCCAGAAAAACACGCAGGGUGACAGGGGAGGUCAUUUUUAAAUCCUAUUGAAACAAGAAAAAACAAAUCAGUAUUGUCUGCACUGUAGUGACACCAAACGAAGACCUCCAACCUUGUAGUCAGCCAAUGGAUAGUCAUCAGCCAACUCACUUAGUUUGAGAAAGAAAAUCUCCCUUGAUGGAGAAGGGAUCAAUAUAAUCUUCAUCAUCUUCUGUGGGACUUCCAGAGCCAGAGUGUGUGUCUGUGUUUCCCGUUUGGAUCUACAAAGCCAUAUCAUCUGCUAUUUAUUUAUCAUUUUGCAUCAUUUUAAUAAACUGUUACAUUCUGCUCUAAUAUCUGUCUCCGUCAUCUUCUGUACCUGCGCCCAUGUUUGCGCCCAUGGGCGUUCUGAUCUAAAAACGAGGUGUGUUCAGGCGCAUUGUUGGCGCGUUGCUAUUUUGAGGCAACUAAAAUAUACUACGCCAUUGACCAACACAAACCUGCUCUAAAGUCAAUGGCGCAAUAUGUUUUUUGUUAUUUAAAGAGCGCGUUAGAAAUAUGAGCUAUAUAAACGGGACGAAAACGCAGGUUUGCUUAUCACAUAUGAAUGCUCAGAAGCACAAAAACGCUUUUCAAAUAUAAAAAGAUUAAAGGAUUGAAAUGUAAAAGAUUAUUAUUGAGUCUCUUGGACAUAAAUGAGGACUAAUUAUGAGACGUUAGAAGGCACAAAGAGCUGCUACACCUGCAGCCUGGUAAGUAAAUAAAUGCUUUGCUUUAAACAAAUGCAUCUGUUUUUAUAUGUUUUUUUUUAAAUGCUACCUCACGGAUUUAUUGUAUAAGAUGACUCUGUACCUGUGGAUAUGGUGAGAUGAGAAACAUUUUUAAGUAAUGCUUAAAAACUCAUUGCUUUAAAAAAAAAACGGUGUCCAAGUGGUGAAACGUCCAGAGAGCCAUUUGUAAAUUCCUUAUCUCCUUGUUUGUUACAAAUAAAGUAUUUAUAGAGUACAAACCUUCUCUGACAUACUUGUAAACUAUUUUUUGUUGAUAUUGGACAGCCAUACAUUUAAAGCAAUUAAAAGUCAGCUUUUUUACU